UAGGGAAUCUUCGGCAAUGGGGGGAACCCUGACCGAGCAACGCCGCGUGAGUGAAGAAGGUUUUCGGAUCGUAAAGCUCUGUUGUUAAGGAAGAACGAGUGUGAGAAUGGAAAGUUCAUACUGUGACGGUACUUAACCAGAAAGGGACGGCUAACUACGUGCCAGCAGCCGCGGUAAUACGUAGGUCCCGAGCGUUGUCCGGAUUUAUUGGGCGUAAAGCGAGCGCAGGCGGUUAGAUAAGUCUGAAGUUAAAGGCAGUGGCUCAACCAUUGUAGGCUUUGGAAACUGUUUAACUUGAGUGCAGAAGGGGAGAGUGGAAUUCCAUGUGUAGCGGUGAAAUGCGUAGAUAUAUGGAGGAACACCGGUGGCGAAAGCGGCUCUCUGGUCUGUAACUGAUGCUGAGGCUCGAAAGCGUGGGGAGCGAACAGG
rnacentral:rRNA from 1 species